GAGUGUAUGUGGUACGAGGGUGAUACAAAAAUGUUAUAUAAUCAAGGACUAAUAUUACUUCGUAUCGUUUUGAUGAAUUUAACCUUUAUUAAAAAUGACGUACAGUUAUGUAAAGGAGAUGAUGGUAUAAAGGUUUGCCGGUUGAUGGAGCUAUUGUUGUUUUGUGUAGUAACAUCGUCUUGUGGAUUGUUGGUGGUUGUCCUUGUGGAUGUUUGUACUUCGUCCUUUUGAGAAGCUCCAAGUGACUGUUGUGUACGUCCGGUGGUGUCUUUGUGAUGAACGUUGUUGCUGUUAUCGUCGAUCU
rnacentral:lncRNA from 1 species